AUAACCCGUCCGCCCCAUGGCCCCACCACCGCCAUCGCCACCGGCACCGCCAUGGCCUUCCCCGUCCUCAUCCUCCUCCUCGCGGCCUCUGUCCCAGGUCUGCGGGCGGCCGUGAUGCUGGAGGAGACCGGAGGCGGCCUCCAAAGCCCCGGGGGCUCCAUGAGGCUCCUCUGCAAGGCCUCGGGCUUCACCUUCGGCACCUACGGCAUGGGAUGGAUGCGCCAAGCAAUGGGGCAGGGGCUCCAAUGGGUCGCUGGCAUCAACAGCAAUGGUGGUGGCGCCGGAUACGCGCUGUCGGUGAAGGGCCGAGCCACCAUCACCAUGGACAGCUCCCAGGGCACGGUCACGCUGCAGAUGAGCGGCCUCACGGCGCAGGACACGGCCACUUACUACUGCGUGAAGGGUGCCCACGGUGGUGCCGGCGGCAUGCGGGGCCCGGGCAUGAAUGGGGCCCAUAGGGUGCUAUAGGGUGGUGGU